rnacentral:misc_RNA from 1 species
AUAUUGGCAUUGCUGGGA